rnacentral:rRNA from 1 species
UACAGAGGGGGCAAGCGUUGUUCGGAAUUACUGGGCGUAAAGGGCGCGUAGGCGGCCCGCUAAGUCGAACGUGAAAUCCCUGGGCUCAACCCCAGGAACUGCGUCCGAUACUGGCAGGCUUGAAUCCGGGAGAGGGAUGUGGAAUUCCAGGUGUAGCGGUGAAAUGCGUAGAUAUCUGGAGGAACACCGGUGGCGAAGGCGGCAUCCUGGACCGGUAUUGACGCUGAGGCGCGAAAAGCCAGGGGGAGCAAACGGG